UACGGGGGGUGCUAGCGUUAUUCGGAAUCAUUGGGCGUAAGGGCGCGUAGGCGGUCUUUUAAGUCAGAUGUGAAAGCCCUCGGCUUAACCGAGGAAGUGCAUUUGAUACUAAGAGACUUGAGUAUGGGAGGGGGAAGCGGAAUUCCUGGUGUAGCGGUGAAAUGCGUAGAUACCAGGAGGAACACCGGUGGCGAAGGCGGCUCACUGGACCGUUACUGACGCUGAGGUGAGAAAGCUAGGGGAGCAAACGGG
rnacentral:rRNA from 1 species